UGGGAAACUACGGCUAAUACCGCAUGAUGCCUGAGGCCAAAGCGAAAGUCGUUGAGGAGAGCCUGCGUCUGAUUAGGUAGUUGGUGGGUAAAGGCCUACCAAGCCUACGAUCAGUAGCNGGUCUGAGAGGAUGAUCAGCCACAUUGGGACUGAGACACGGCCCAAAUCCUACGGGAGGCAGCAGUGGGGAAUAUUGGACAAUGGGCGCAAGCCUGAUCCAGCAAUGCCGCGUGGGUGAAGAAGGUCUUCGGAUUGUAAAGCCCUUUUGGCGGGGACGAUGAUGACGGUACCCGCAGAAUAAGCUCCGGCUAACUUCGUG
rnacentral:rRNA from 1 species